rnacentral:misc_RNA from 1 species
AAAAAAAAAUCAGAAGAGUCUCAAUGCUGAUAAUAAACAUUCAUAAAUGCCAAUUUUGGUUAAGUUUAGUAAGAAGAUAAAGGACGUUGAUACAAACAAAAGCAACUUCCAGAACACAAUCUUUUAUAUCAUUGAAUACUGGAGGUUAUUUUGUUUGGAUAACAUAGAACUGAACAUCAACCAAUUUAGACAGUUCCCACAAGCCUUGAACCCAGUAUAUCUUUCGGAUAAUGCCUAAGGAAAGCAGCUCUUUUACAAAUAAAUAAUAAAAGUUCACGACACGCAAUGACAGAACAAAAAAAUUUUAAGGA